rnacentral:rRNA from 1 species
GACGAACGCUGGCGGCGUGCCUAAUACAUGCAAGUAGAACGCUGAAGGAGGAGCUUGCUUCUCUGGAUGAGUUGCGAACGGGUGAGUAACGCGUAGGUAACCUGCCUGGUAGCGGGGGAUAACUAUUGGAAACGAUAGCUAAUACCGCAUAAGAGUAGAUGUUGCAUGACAUUUGCUUAAAAGGUGCAAUUGCAUCACUACCAGAUGGACCUGCGUUGUAUUAGCUAGUUGGUGGGGUAACGGCUCACCAAGGCGACGAUACAUAGCCGACCUGAGAGGGUGAUCGGCCACACUGGGACUGAGACACGGCCCAGACUCCUACGGGAGGCAGCAGUAGGGAAUCUUCGGCAAUGGACGGAAGUCUGACCGAGCAACGCCGCGUGAGUGAAGAAGGUUUUCGGAUCGUAAAGCUCUGUUGUAAGAGAAGAACGAGUGUGAGAGUGGAAAGUU